AAUGCAGCAUGCAAAGAUCUCAGCUCCACCCUAGCUUGGGCAAGGCCCUCAGCACUCUGGCAUCUGGGUUGGCCUUGUUAAAGGACAGAGUUGGUCUGGGUUUCUUGGGGCCCUCCCAGUGCCAGUGUGUGGUCUGUGGCUCCACUGAGGAGGCAGAUAGGCUGUGCACAGGAGAACUGUCUGUGACCCCGGGUCCAUGCACAGGUUGGAGACAUGUUCUAAGAAAGAGGUGGCUGCCCUGCCCAGUGCCUCUCCGCAUUUCCUCCUUGUAUACCACCAACCAGAAGCAGCAGGAGAUAGGUCAGUUCAGGAUUCCCUCUACACCACGUAAAGAAACAAACUUGGGUCUGCCUGCCCAAUGUGCAGCAAAGCCAGUCUAUAGACACUGGGUUGUGGUGAAGGUAAGUACAGUGUUUAUUGCGAAACACCAAGCAAUGAGAACAGGCAGCUCAUGCUCAAAAUACCUGAUCUCCCUAAUAGCUCUCAGGGAGGGUUUUUAAAGGCAACAUUAGGGGUAAGGGUUGUAGGGUGCAUGAUCAGCUCAUGGACUUUCUUCUGACUGGUUGGUGGUAAGGUAACAGUGUGGUGUUUUAGAGGUUAUUAAAAUAACAAUAUCAUCAACCUUCUGGUUCCAACUGGUCUAGAGUCUGCAUGUUUGUGGUCAGCAUACAGUUCACUUCUUCCACAUGCUGGGGGUUUUAGUAUCUGCAAAAAAACCCCAAGGAUCUGGCUAAGGAUAUUCUCUAUUGUCACUGAGGUGAAACUAAAGGUCCUUGAUUUUGUUUUAUGACUAAACUAGUAUUAUUCUGUCUUGAUUGACUGUUCUUUGUUUUUGGCAUUUUUUUCACUUCUGAUUAAAUUUAUUCUUUGGAACUCAGAUUUAGGAGGCUAAAGCUUUCUAACAAACAGGAGGCAGGGGAAAUGGGGUAUCUGUCCCUGGGAAGGCCCUGAAGGACUGCUUGGUUUCACAAGUAGGAAAACUGGGUCCCAUAAGGGGAGAAGAUUUGCUUGAGCCUACAUUGGAAAACAGUUGGGAGUUUCUUAGAAAGUUAAAUACGUAGCCUACCAUAUGAUCUAGCCAUUCCAUUCCUAGGUAUCUACCCAAGAGAAAUGAAAGCCUUGUCUAAAUAAAAAUUUGUACACAGAUGUUCUUUGCAGCUUUAUUUCUAACAGCCAGAAACUGAACAUCACCCAAAUGUCCACCAGGCAAGAAAUGGAUAAGCACACUCUGGUAUAUUCACGCAAUGGAAUACUGCUCAGCUGCAAGACCUAACGCAAGUUGCUUAGCCUCUCUGAACCUCAAAUUCUACCUUCAAAACAAGAAUGAUAAUAGUCCCUUCCUUAUAAGAUAAACAUGGAAUGAAAUAAUGCUGAUAAAUUACUUAACAGAAUACCUGGGAUGUAGUAAGUACUUAAUAAAUAUUAAUCAUUAUGUCUUGAUAGAAAAUGCAUUAUACCUAUCAAUGUGUGAUCAUCUGACAUCAUUUCUGUGUUAUGCCUUCCAACCUUCCAAUAAAUGGCAUGGUGUGUCUACUCACCUAUUUUCGGCCACGCUGGGCCUUCAUUGCAGCAUACACAGUUCUUUGUUGCAGCACAUGGUCUUAGUCACACUAUGUCAUGCAGGCUCUUAGUUCCCCUACCAGGGAUCGAACCUGCAUACUCUGCACUGGAAGGUGAAUUCUUUUUUUUUUUUUUUUUAAUAGAGUCAAUAAUUUAAUAAGGUGAAAAAAAGACUUGGUGUAUAAAAUUGUAUGGCAGAACUAUUCUUGACCAUCUUUUUUUUCUUCAUUGUAGAAAGGCGAAUUCCCAAACACUGGACCACAAAGAAGUUGUCUUUCUUUUCCUUUUUUUUUUUAAAAAGUGCUUUCCAUAGCACCUGGCAUUCAUUAAAUGCUCAAUAAAGUUUCAUGUUUUCUCUGCCCUUA